GGGGAUUUAGCUCAGAGGUAGAGCGCUUGCCUAGCAAGCGCAAGGCCCUGGGUUCGGUCCCCAGCUCCG
rfam:Rattus norvegicus chromosome 4, whole genome shotgun sequence.